UAUCAUCUGCCGUGUUCGAUAAUGAUUAAACAUUUUGACCAACACUUAGACAUAGGGAGCCUGGAACUCUACCUGCGGCGUAGAAGCCUUAGAUGGACCUAUAAACCAGGUAGGAGGGCACCCACUUGGCAGACAGGGAUCAAAAUUCCAAAUCAACCGGCACGGCGGAUGAGCU
rnacentral:other from 2 species